rnacentral:rRNA from 1 species
UACGUAGGGGGCAAGCGUUGUCCGGAUUUAUUGGGCGUAAAGAGCGUGUAGGCGGCCAAGCAGGUCCGCUGUGAAAACUCGAGGCUCAACCUCGAGAGGUCGGUGGAAACCGUUUGGCUAGAGUCCGGAAGAGGAGAGUGGAAUUCCUGGUGUAGCGGUGAAAUGCGCAGAUAUCAGGAGGAACACCGGUGGCGAAGGCGGGUCUCUGGGCCGAAACUGACGCUGAGGAGCGAAAGCGUGGGGAGCAAACGGG